rnacentral:rRNA from 1 species
GGUUAAGCGACUAAGCGUACACGGUGGAUGCCCUGGCAGUCAGAGGCGAUGAAGGACGUGCUAAUCUGCGAUAAGCGUCGGUAAGGUGAUAUGAACCGUUAUAACCGGCGAUUUCCGAAUGGGGAAACCCAGUGUGAUUCGUCACACUAUCAUUAACUGAAUCCAUAGGUUAAUGAGGCGAACCGGGGGAACUGAAACAUCUAAGUACCCCGAGGAAAAGAAAUCAACCGAGAUUCCCCCAGUAGCGGCGAGCGAACGGGGAGGAGCCCAGAGCCUGAAUCAGUGUGUGUGUUAGUGGAAGCGUCUGGAAAGGCGCGCGAUACAGGGUGACAGCCCCGUACACAAAAAUGCACAUACUGUGAGCUCGAUGAGUAGGGCGGGACACGUGGUAUCCUGUCUGAAUAUGGGGGGACCAUCCUCCAAGGCUAAAUACUCCUGACUGACCGAUAGUGAACCAGUACCGUGAGGGAAAGGCGAAAAGAACCCCGGCGAGGGGAGUGAAAAAGAACCUGAAACCGUGUACGUACAAGCAGUGGGAGCCUCUUUAUGGGGUGACUGCGUACCUUUUGUAUAAUGGGUCAGCGACUUAUAUUCUGUAGCAAGGUUAACCGAAUAGGGGAGCCGAAGGGAAACCGAGUCUUAACUGGGCGUUAAGUUGCAGGGUAUAGACCCGAAACCCGGUGAUCUAGCCAUGGGCAGGUUGAAGGUUGGGUAACACUAACUGGAGGACCGAACCGACUAAUGUUGAAAAAUUAGCGGAUGACUUGUGGCUGGGGGUGAAAGGCCAAUCAAACCGGGAGAUAGCUGGUUCUCCCCGAAAGCUAUUUAGGUAGCGCCUCGUGAAUUCAUCUCCGGGGGUAGAGCACUGUUUCGGCAAGGGGGUCAUCCCGACUUACCAACCCGAUGCAAACUGCGAAUACCGGAGAAUGUUAUCACGGGAGACACUCGGCGGGUGCUAACGUCCGUCGUGAAGAGGGAAACAACCCAGACCGCCAGCUAAGGUCCCAAAGUCAUGGUUAAGUGGGAAACGAUGUGGGAAGGCCCAGACAGCCAGGAUGUUGGCUUAGAAGCAGCCAUCAUUUAAAGAAAGCGUAAUAGCUCACUGGUCGAGUCGGCCUGCGCGGAAGAUGUAACGGGGCUAAACCAUGCACCGAAGCUGCGGCAGCGACACUAUGUGUUGUUGGGUAGGGGAGCGUUCUGUAAGCCUGUGAAGGUGUACUGUGAGGUAUGCUGGAGGUAUCAGAAGUGCGAAUGCUGACAUAAGUAACGAUAAAGCGGGUGAAAAGCCCGCUCGCCGGAAGACCAAGGGUUCCUGUCCAACGUUAAUCGGGGCAGGGUGAGUCGACCCCUAAGGCGAGGCCGAAAGGCGUAGUCGAUGGGAAACAGGUUAAUAUUCCUGUACUUGGUGUUACUGCGAAGGGGGGACGGAGAAGGCUAUGUUGGCCGGGCGACGGUUGUCCCGGUUUAAGCGUGUAGGCUGAUUUUCCAGGCAAAUCCGGAAAAUCAAGGCUGAGGCGUGAUGACGAGGCACUACGGUGCUGAAGCAACAAAUGCCCUGCUUCCAGGAAAAGCCUCUAAGCAUCAGGUAACAUCAAAUCGUACCCCAAACCGACACAGGUGGUCAGGUAGAGAAUACCAAGGCGCUUGAGAGAACUCGGGUGAAGGAACUAGGCAAAAUGGUGCCGUAACUUCGGGAGAAGGCACGCUGAUAUGUAGGUGAAGCGACUUGCUCGUGGAGCUGAAAUCAGUCGAAGAUACCAGCUGGCUGCAACUGUUUAUUAAAAACACAGCACUGUGCAAACACGAAAGUGGACGUAUACGGUGUGACGCCUGCCCGGUGCCGGAAGGUUAAUUGAUGGGGUUAGCGGUAACGCGAAGCUCUUGAUCGAAGCCCCGGUAAACGGCGGCCGUAACUAUAACGGUCCUAAGGUAGCGAAAUUCCUUGUCGGGUAAGUUCCGACCUGCACGAAUGGCGUAAUGAUGGCCAGGCUGUCUCCACCCGAGACUCAGUGAAAUUGAACUCGCUGUGAAGAUGCAGUGUACCCGCGGCAAGACGGAAAGACCCCGUGAACCUUUACUAUAGCUUGACACUGAACAUUGAGCCUUGAUGUGUAGGAUAGGUGGGAGGCUUUGAAGUGUGGACGCCAGUCUGCAUGGAGCCGACCUUGAAAUACCACCCUUUAAUGUUUGAUGUUCUAACGUUGGCCCGUGAUCCGGGUUGCGGACAGUGUCUGGUGGGUAGUUUGACUGGGGCGGUCUCCUCCUAAAGAGUAACGGAGGAGCACGAAGGUUGGCUAAUCCUGGUCGGACAUCAGGAGGUUAGUGCAAUGGCAUAAGCCAGCUUGACUGCGAGCGUGACGGCGCGAGCAGGUGCGAAAGCAGGUCAUAGUGAUCCGGUGGUUCUGAAUGGAAGGGCCAUCGCUCAACGGAUAAAAGGUACUCCGGGGAUAACAGGCUGAUACCGCCCAAGAGUUCAUAUCGACGGCGGUGUUUGGCACCUCGAUGUCGGCUCAUCACAUCCUGGGGCUGAAGUAGGUCCCAAGGGUAUGGCUGUUCGCCAUUUAAAGUGGUACGCGAGCUGGGUUUAGAACGUCGUGAGACAGUUCGGUCCCUAUCUGCCGUGGGCGCUGGAGAACUGAGGGGGGCUGCUCCUAGUACGAGAGGACCGGAGUGGACGCAUCACUGGUGUUCGGGUUGUCAUGCCAAUGGCACUGCCCGGUAGCUAAAUGCGGAAGAGAUAAGUGCUGAAAGCAUCUAAGCACGAAACUUGCCCCGAGAUGAGUUCUCCCUGACUCCUUGAGAGUCCUGAAGGAACGUUGAAGACGACGACGUUGAUAGGCCGGGUGUGUAAGCGCAGCGAUGCGUUGAGCUAACCGGUACUAAUGAACCGUGAGGCUUAACCUU